UAAUAAUGUCAUUACAAUUCUCUGGCCAGUUUAUUCUCUUCUCCUGCAAUGGCUGUUUCAAAUCUGUCCCAUUCUCCUGAAAUCUCUGGCCUGUCCAGCUUCCACACUCACUCUGAGCUCAACUAUCACCCCCCCAACUUAUGACAGGAAAGAGAACUUGCCUUCUGGAACCUCUUCUUUUUUCUACACCUCUGUGCACCACUCAUAUCCCUUCUCCUUCCUUCUGUCACAGCACGGGAGGAGCCUGGCCCUGGGAGGCUGGUCUGGAUUCAUUCCACCUGCUUCGGCUCUCUUUUCUCUAUGCCACACCUUGGCCUUCUCUCUUUCUUCAUGAUAUUCCAUCGAAAUGGAAGAUGCUCCCUGGCUCCACUUCUACCCAAUUUCAUGCUUCCUCAUCAUUGUCAACUUUCUUGGAAGGGUUUCUGUGCUGCUUUCUUUAUCUCUCCACUUCCAUGAGCCCCUCGGCCCAGUUCCAUCUGCCCCCUGCUCUGCCAGGGUCCCUGGUGACCAUCACGUCUCCAUUUGAGGGCUGUUUGAAUCUUUGCCCUGAACAGAGGCUACACAGCACAGUGACGAAGAAAUCACACUAAAAGAAACUGGAAUGCACGCCA
rnacentral:lncRNA from 10 species